CUACGGGCGGCUGCAGUAGGGAAUUUUCGGCAAUGGGCGCAAGCCUGACCGAGCAACGCCGCGUGAGUGAUUAAGGCCUUCGGGUUGUAAAGCUCUGUUGUAAAGGAAGAACGAUCAGUAUAGGAAAUGACACUGAUGUGACGGUACUUUACCAGAAAGCCACGGCUAACUACGUGCCAGCAGCCGCGGUAAUACGUAGGUGGCAAGCGUUAUCCGGAAUUAUUGGGCGUAAAGGGAGCGUAGGCGGUUUAUUAAGUCUAUGGUGAAGGUGCGGGGCUCAACCCCGUAUGGCCAUAGAAACUGAUAGACUAGAGUGCAGAAGAGGGUAGUGGAAUUCCAUGUGUAGCGGUAAUAUGCGUAGAUAUAUGGAGGAACACCGGUGGCGAAGGCGGCUACCUGGUCUGUUACUGACGCUGAGGCUCGAAAGCGUGGGGAGCAAAUAGGAUUAGAUACCCCAGUAGUC
rnacentral:rRNA from 1 species